rnacentral:rRNA from 1 species
AGAGUUUGAUCAUGGCUCAGGAUGAACGCUGGCGGCGUGCCUAAUACAUGCAAGUCGAGCGGUAAGGUCCCUUCGGGGGUACACGAGCGGCGGACGGCUGAGUAACACGUAGGAAUAUACCCCAAACUGAGGGAUAACUGCUCGAAAGAGUAGCUAAUACCGCAUGUGCGCUUCGGCGUAAAGCUACGGCGGUUUGGGAA